GUAUUCCGCUCCAUAGCGUAUAUUAAAGUUGUUGCAGUUAAAAAGCUCGUAGUUGAAUUUCGGGAUCAGUUCGUCGGUCGUGCCUUUGGUAUGUACUGGUGUUACUGGUUCCUCCCUUCUGACGAACCGUCAUGUCAUUAAUUUGGUGUGGCGGGAAAUCAGGACUGUUACUUUGAAAAAAUUAGAGUGUUUAAAGCAGGCUCGCGCUUGAAUACAUUAGCAUGGAAUAAUGAAAUAGGACGUUCGAUCCUAUUUUGUUGGUUUCUAGGAUUGACGUAAUGAUUAAUAGGGAUAGUUGGGGGCAUUAGUAUUCAAUUGCCAGAGGUGAAAUUCUUGGAUUUAUUGAAGACUAACUACUGCGAAAGCAUUUGCCAAGGAUGUUUUCAUUAAUCAAGAACGAAAGUUAGGGGAUCGAAGACGAUCAGAUACCGUCGUAGUCUUAACCAUAAACUAUGCCGACUAGGGAUCGGAUGAUGUUAAUUUUUUAAUGACUCAUUCGGCGCCUUACGGGAAACA
rnacentral:rRNA from 1 species